UAUGGCAAGAUUUUUAAUGAACAGCAUUUAACCUUAAAAAAAGAUUCAGCCUGUCCAACAUGUGAUUUGUUUAUCAAAAAAGUAAAAACGGGGUAACAUUCACAGCCAGGCUUGAUGUGGCUUAACAUGCCAGAAAAUAUAUCUAAGAAUCUACCCCUCAAGUGCAACUCCAUAAAGAAGUCAGAAAAUAAAACAAAAUGAACUCCCUGCCUCCAAAGGUCACUGCGUGGCUGAAAGGAGACAAAGCGUACUGCAGGGCCUGGCAUCUGAUAAACAACAAACAUUACAAAAACACAAAUUAAACAAACCAAGCCAGGGAAAUGCUAAGGUCCUCACGUCAGCUUCCAGCGUGGAUUUGUGUUGUUUUUCAUGUGACAUCGUCUUCCACACAUUCAUUUUGUCUCCAGCCAUCUCCAAUUUUUCCACAUGAAUCUUUACUUUUGCUUAUAUUUGCAUUGAAAAAAAUCAGGCGAAAACGUUCUUGCCCCUCAGAAGCGAGGGCGUCCACAUCAGUCGUGUGUGUCAGCGUUUGCCCCGCAGGCGCCGUCUCCAUGGCCACGGGGGCUCUGUUUUCCUUCGCAGGAGGCGGGAUCAGCACAGCAGAGCCAGGAACCAACUGUCGUCAGGAAGUUCACUGGAUCACAUCGGGCACUGCAGUUUGGAUGCUCAGUGUCUCUGGAGGCGCAUGUGUUAAAGGCUCAGCCCCAGUUUGGCACAACAGGAAGAAGUGUGAACAGAAAAGGCAGAAUCUGGGAGAGACCUUCAUCCCCUCCACUUCCUCUCUCCCUCCCCAGCAGUGA
rnacentral:lncRNA from 1 species